UACGUAGGGGGCAAGCGUUGUUCGGAUUCAUUGGGCGUAAAGGGUGCGUAGGCGGCGCGGUAAGUCGGGUGUGAAAUCUCGGAGCUUAGCUCAGAACGGCCAAGUGAUACUGCAGUGCUAGAGUGUGGAAGGGGCAAUCGGAAUUCUUGGUGUAGCGGUGAAAUGCGUAGAUAUCAAGAGGAACACCUGAGGCGAAGGCGGGUUGCUAGGCUGACACUGACGCUGAGUGCGCGAAAGCCAGGGGAGCAAACGGG
rnacentral:rRNA from 1 species